rnacentral:rRNA from 1 species
UACGAAGGGUGCAAACGUUGCUCGGAAUCAUUGGGCGUAAAGCGCACGUAGGCGGCUCCAAAAGUCGGAUGUGAAAUCCCCUGGGCUCAACCGAGGAAGUGCAUCCGAAACUGCGGAGCUUGAGUAUGGAAGAGGGUCGCGGAAUUCCCGGUGUAGAGGUGAAAUUCGUAGAUAUCGGGAGGAACACCAGUGGCGAAGGCGGCGACCUGGGCCAAUACUGACGCUGAGGUGCGAAAAGCGUGGGGAGCAAACAGGAUUAGAUAACCCGUGGU